GACGAACGCUGGCGGCGUGCUUAACACAUGCAAGUCGAACGGAAAGGCCUCUUUCGGGGGGUACUCGAGUGGCGAAUGGGUGAGUAACACGUGAGUAACCUGCCCUUGACUCUGGGAUAACUUCAGGAAACUGGGGCUAAUACCGGAUAGGAGCUCCUGCUGCAUGGUGGGGGUUGGAAAGUUUCGGCGGUUGGGGAUGGACUCGCGGCUUAUCAGCUUGUUGGUGGGGUAGUGGCUUACCAAGGCUUUGACGGGUAGCCGGCCUGAGAGGGUGACCGGCCACAUUGGGACUGAGAUACGGCCCAGACUCCUACGGGAGGCAGCAGUGGGGAAUAUUGCACAAUGGGUGGAAGCCUGAUGCAGCAACGCCGUGUGCGGGAUGACGGCCUUCGGGUUGUAAACCGCUUUCGCUCAUGACGAAGCUUUGUGUGACGGUAGUGGGUAAAGAAGCACCGGCUAACUACGUG
rnacentral:rRNA from 1 species